rnacentral:rRNA from 1 species
AUUGAACGCUGGCGGCAGGCCUAACACAUGCAAGUCGAACGAGUGGCGGACGGGUGAGUAAUGUCUGGGAAACUGCCCGAUGGAGGGGGCUAACUACUGGAAACGGUAGAUAAUACCGCCUACCAUCGGAUAUGCCCAGAUGGGAUUAGCUAGUAGGUGGGGUAACGGCUACCCUAGGCGACGAUCCAUAGCUGGUCUGAGAGGAUGAACAGCCACACUGGAACUGAGACACGGUCCAGACUCCUACGGGAGGAAGCAGUGGGGAAUAUUGCACAAGGGGCGCAAGCCUGAUGCAGCCAUGCCGCGUGUAUGAAGAAGGCCUUCGGGUUGUAAAGUACUUUCAGCGAGGAGGUGUUACUCGCAGAAGAAGCACCGGCUAACUCCGUGCCAGCCGCCGCGGUAAUAC